rnacentral:rRNA from 1 species
UGGGGAAUAUUGCACAAUGGGCGAAAGCCUGAUGCAGCAACGCCGCGUGAGCGAUGAAGGCCUUCGGGUCGUAAAGCUCUGUCCCAAGGGAAGAUAAUGACGGUACCUUGGGAGGAAGCCCCGGCUAACUACGUGCCAGCAGCCGCGGUAAUACGUAGGGGGCAAGCGUUAUCCGGAAUCACUGGGCGUAAAGGGUGCGUAGGCGGUCUUGCAAGCCAGAGGUGAAAGGCUAUGGCUCAACCAUAGUGAGCCUUUGGAACUGCCGGACUUGAGUACAGGAGAGGAAAGUGGAAUUCCUAGUGUAGCGGUGAAAUGCGUAGAUAUUAGGAGGAACACCAGUGGCGAAGGCGACUUUCUGGACUGUUACUGACGCUGAGGCACGAAAGCGUGGGGAGCGAAC